UCAGGACUGAGUUCAAACAUAACACUAGAAGGCCAGUCCUCUAUAGCUGCACAUGUGUGUUACAGAGGUAGGACGCCAUUUGAAUUUUGUAUGUGCUGUUAUUUGGAGUCCUAAGUGCCUAGAUGGAACAGAUGAUACGGAAUAGACAGUUAUACAUUUUAUAUAAAUUUGAAGGUCUGUAUCAAGCAAUGAAACUUUUCUCCAACACCAAACUACUUAAGCUUAUGAAUGUUUUCCAGCCCUUGUUUAAUCACCUGGACCUUUGAUCCUCCUGCCUACUCUGUUCUGUGGAUCUCAUUUGCACCCUUACUCCAGGCGGCUCUCCUGGUCUCAAACUCCUGGUUUUACUUUCACCGAAGACUUGUGUCUCCCUCCGUGUGAUGCUCUCAGCCCCUCUGCUUCUGGUGAGGGAUUACCCUGUAUGCACAUCCUUACUGUCCCUUGGCUGUCCAAAUUCAACCAUUUGAAUAGACAACCCUAUAUCCAUACAUGAUAAAGAAUCCAUAAGAUUCAGAGAGUCCCAGAGACACCAGGAAGUGGAUAUCUGUCCAGGCACUGGGACAGCAAGAAAAGCAUGAAAUUGGAUCAGUCCCAAAACCUGGUACAAAAAGUACUAAGCCAUAUUGCAGGGGUUGCUGCUACUCAGAAUAGAAUGUGAUGCUAUGGCAGGCUGAACUAUAUUAACUGCAUUGGAAGAGGUGACAAGUACCCUGGCAAUGCUGCUGCACUAAGAGAGGAGCAGAUCUGGACCAAACGCUUGAAGCUGCAUUCUUUGAUUUUUCCAGAGUGACUCCAUUGUGCCUUGCCAACACUGGCACUAACAUCUCUAAUCUAGAAAUCAGAUCCUGACUUGCAAGAUGGCAAGCAGCUGGCUUUUUGGCUGGAGUCCAGGGCUGCAGCACAGGUAGAGACCUGCACUGUAUUACUCUAACACAGAGUACAGUCAAGUGAGAUACAGCGGUUGGUUGGAGUAGGAGGAGUGGCUACUUUGUUGUGGAGUUGGUGUGCUUGCAGGAGGGGUUACCAAAUAGAAGAUUUGCAGGAGGGACUGGGGAUUCAGAGGAGAGGGGUUGGGACCUCCUGCUGAGCCUCCAGUUUCCCAGGGAGUAUCUCCCCAGAAGCCCCAGGCCUAUGCUGGGAAGCUCAAAGGCUGCUAAGUUGUCUGCUAAUGUUAAUGCUGACCUCAGCUGGCAG
rnacentral:lncRNA from 1 species